GGGUUGUGAGGUUAAGCGACUAAGCGUACACGGUGGAUGCCCUGGCAGUCAGAGGCGAUGAAGGACGUGCUAAUCUGCGAUAAGCGUCGGUAAGGUGAUAUGAACCGUUAUAACCGGCGAUUUCCGAAUGGGGAAACCCAGUGUGAUUCGUCACACUAUCAUUAACUGAAUCCAUAGGUUAAUGAGGCGAACCGGGGGAACUGAAACAUCUAAGUACCCCGAGGAAAAGAAAUCAACCGAGAUUCCCCCAGUAGCGGCGAGCGAACGGGGAGCAGCCCAGAGCCUGAAUCAGUGUGUGUGUUAGUGGAAGCGUCUGGAAAGGCGCGCGAUACAGGGUGACAGCCCCGUACAAAAAAAUGCACAUGCUGUGAGCUCGAUGAGUAGGGCGGGACACGUGGUAUCCUGUCUGAAUAUGGGGGGACCAUCCUCCAAGGCUAAAUACUCCUGACUGACCGAUAGUGAACCAGUACCGUGAGGGAAAGGCGAAAAGAACCCCGGCGAGGGGAGUGAAAAAAAGAACCUGAAACCGUGUACGUACAAGCAGUGGGAGCACGCUUAGGCGUGUGACUGCGUACCUUUUGUAUAAUGGGUCAGCGACUUAUAUUCUGUAGCAAGGUUAACCGAAUAGGGGAGCCGAAGGGAAACCGAGUCUUAACUGGGCGUUAAGUUGCAGGGUAUAGACCCGAAACCCGGUGAUCUAGCCAUGGGCAGGUUGAAGGUUGGGUAACACUAACUGGAGGACCGAACCGACUAAUGUUGAAAAAUUAGCGGAUGACUUGUGGCUGGGGGUGAAAGGCCAAUCAAACCGGGAGAUAGCUGGUUCUCCCCGAAAGCUAUUUAGGUAGCGCCUCGUGAAUUCAUCUCUCGGGGGGUAGAGCACUGUUUCGGCAAGGGGUCAUCCCGACUUACCAACCCGAUGCAAACUGCGAAUACCGGAGAAUGUUAUCACGGGAGACACACGGCGGGUGCUAACGUCCGUCGUGAAGAGGGAAACAACCCAGACCGCCAGCUAAGGUCCCAAAGUCAUGGUUAAGUGGGAAACGAUGUGGGAAGGCCCAGACAGCCAGGAUGUUGGCUUAGAAGCAGCCAUCAUUUAAAGAAAGCGUAAUAGCUCACUGGUCGAGUCGGCCUGCGCGGAAGAUGUAACGGGGCUAAACCAUGCACCGAAGCUGCGGCAGCGACGCUGAUGCGUUGUUGGGUAGGGGAGCGUUCUGUAAGCCUGCGAAGGUGUGCUGUGAGGCAUGCUGGAGGUAUCAGAAGUGCGAAUGCUGACAUAAGUAACGAUAAAGCGGGUGAAAAGCCCGCUCGCCGGAAGACCAAGGGUUCCUGUCCAACGUUAAUCGGGGCAGGGUGAGUCGACCCCUAAGGCGAGGCCGAAAGGCGUAGUCGAUGGGAAACAGGUUAAUAUUCCUGUACUUGGUGUUACUGCGAAGGGGGGACGGAGAAGGCUAUGUUGGCCGGGCGACGGUUGUCCCGGUUUAAGCGUGUAGGCUGGUUUUCCAGGCAAAUCCGGAAAAUCAAGGCUGAGGCGUGAUGACGAGGCACUACGGUGCUGAAGCAACAAAUGCCCUGCUUCCAGGAAAAGCCUCUAAGCAUCAGGUAACAUCAAAUCGUACCCCAAACCGACACAGGUGGUCAGGUAGAGAAUACCAAGGCGCUUGAGAGAACUCGGGUGAAGGAACUAGGCAAAAUGGUGCCGUAACUUCGGGAGAAGGCACGCUGAUAUGUAGGUGAAGUCCCUCGCGGAUGGAGCUGAAAUCAGUCGAAGAUACCAGCUGGCUGCAACUGUUUAUUAAAAACACAGCACUGUGCAAACACGAAAGUGGACGUAUACGGUGUGACGCCUGCCCGGUGCCGGAAGGUUAAUUGAUGGGGUCAGCGCAAGCGAAGCUCUUGAUCGAAGCCCCGGUAAACGGCGGCCGUAACUAUAACGGUCCUAAGGUAGCGAAAUUCCUUGUCGGGUAAGUUCCGACCUGCACGAAUGGCGUAAUGAUGGCCAGGCUGUCUCCACCCGAGACUCAGUGAAAUUGAACUCGCUGUGAAGAUGCAGUGUACCCGCGGCAAGACGGAAAGACCCCGUGAACCUUUACUAUAGCUUGACACUGAACAUUGAGCCUUGAUGUGUAGGAUAGGUGGGAGGCUUUGAAGUGUGGACGCCAGUCUGCAUGGAGCCGGCCUUGAAAUACCACCCUUUAAUGUUUGAUGUUCUAACGUUGACCCGUGAUCCGGGUUGCGGACAGUGUCUGGUGGGUAGUUUGACUGGGGCGGUCUCCUCCUAAAGAGUAACGGAGGAGCACGAAGGUUGGCUAAUCUGGUCGGACAUCAGGAGGUUAGUGCAAUGGCAUAAGCCAGCUUGACUGCGAGCGUGACGGCGCGAGCAGGUGCGAAAGCAGGUCAUAGUGAUCCGGUGGUUCUGAAUGGAAGGGCCAUCGCUCAACGGAUAAAAGGUACUCCGGGGAUAACAGGCUGAUACCGCCCAAGAGUUCAUAUCGACGGCGGUGUUUGGCACCUCGAUGUCGGCUCAUCACAUCCCGGGGCUGAAGUAGGUCCCAAGGGUAUGGCUGUUCGCCAUUUAAAGUGGUACGCGAGCUGGGUUUAGAACGUCGUGAGACAGUUCGGUCCCUAUCUGCCGUGGGCGCUGGAGAACUGGGGGGCUGCUCCUAGUACGAGAGGACCGGAGUGGACGCAUCACUGGUGUUCGGGUUGUCAUGCCAAUGGCACUGCCCGGUAGCUAAAUGCGGAAGAGAUAAGUGCUGAAAGCAUCUAAGCACGAAACUUGCCCCGAGAUGAGUUCUCCCUGACUCCUUGAGAGUCCUGAAGGAACGUUGAAGACGACGACGUUGAUAGGCCGGGUGUGUAAGCGCAGCGAUGCGUUGAGCUAACCGGUACUAAUGAACCGUGAGGCUUAACCUUACAACGCCGAAGCUGUU
rnacentral:rRNA from 1 species